GAUGAACGCUGGCGGCGUGCCUAAUACAUGCAAGUCGAACGCUGGAACUCUAGCUUGCUAGAUUGAAGGAGUGGCGAACGGGUGAGUAAUACAUAAGCAACCUACCCACGAAGACUGGGAUAAUCUCUGGAAACGGGGACUAAUACCGGAUAGGUAAUCGGAAGGCAUCUUCUGAUUAUUAAAGGUUAAAAACACUGGUGGAUGGGCUUAUGGCGCAUUAGUUAGUUGGUGAGGUAACGGCCCACCAAGACGAUGAUGCGUAGCCGGCCUGAGAGGGUGAACGGCCACAUUGGGACUGAGACACGGCCCAGACUCCUACGGGAGGCAGCAGUAGGGAAUUUUCAGCAAUGGGGGAAACCCUGACCGAGCAACGCCGCGUGAGUGAUGACGGCCUUCGGGUUGUAAAGCUCUGUUGUAAGGGAAGAACGGUAGAUAGAGAAUAUCUAAAUGACGGUACCUUACCAGAAAGCCACGGCUAACUACGUG
rnacentral:rRNA from 1 species